rnacentral:rRNA from 1 species
GACGAACGCUGGCGGCGUGCUUAACACAUGCAAGUCGAACGGAAAGGCCUGCUUUCCCUUGUGGAUUGCGGGUACUCGAGUGGCGAACGGGUGAGUAACACGUGAGUGAUCUGCCCCCAACUUGGGUAUAAGCCUGGGAAACUGGGUCUAAUUCCCGAUAGGACUGCAGGGUGGUGCCUGUGGUGGAAAACGAUUUUCUAGUGGUUGGGGAUGAGCUCGCGGCCUAUCAGCUUGUUGGUGGGGUAAUGGCCUACCAAGGCGGCGACGGGUAGCCGGCCUGAGAGGGUGGACGGCCACAUUGGGACUGGGAUACGGCCCAGACUCCUACGGGAGGCAGCAGUGGGGAAUAUUGCACAAUGGGCGGAAGCCUGAUGCAGCGACGCCGCGUGGGGGAUGACGGCCUUCGGGUUGUAAACUCCUUGCGACCGCGAGGAAGCCACCUGGUUGGAAGGGUGGUGACGGUAGUGGUAGAAGAAGCACCGGCUAACUACGUG